GGAGGAAGAGGCACAAGGACUGGGAAGUGGAGAUGGAAAAUUUGGGUCCUAGGUGAAGCGGCUGACAAGAGGUUCUGCUGCGUCACCAGCAGUAAUGUUGAACUGUUAGAGCAGCUUUCAUGCUGAAUAGUGGGCCUUCCCACUGCAGGCCUGGCGAGGGAUCCAGCCAUUGUCCCGAGGGACAGAGAGCGGGGCCAAGAGCAAGCCACAUAUCUGUGCAGAACUCCGUCAAUACUGAGUCUGAGAGAUGGUACUCCUUUUCAGGAUAAAGAGGACAAAGAAGUCGUGUGUGGAGGGUCGUCCAGAGACUGUUUUGGUGGUGUCUGGAGAACGGAUUGGCGAGGGGAAGGGCGGAAGCGUGGAAGCGUGGAGACCAGCGGUUAGGAGGCCCUCGCAGUAGACCAGUUGUGGCAUUUGGGAUCUGCCUCAGCAUGUCCUGACGAGUGGAGCCGUGUCCGCACCCAGGAUCUGAACCAGCGAAACCCUGGGCCACUGAAGCAGAGCGCACAAACUUAACCACUCGGCCAACGGGCCUGCCACAAGUAAAUGAAUUUUAAUGUUAAAAAUAAGCUGGUGCAAAAAUUAAAAUUUGGUUUUCUCUCAAAGGUUAAUUUUCUUGAACUUUUGGGGCCUGCUCUAAGGCUACCUAAAAGACAGAAAAUGUUUUGCUAAAAUAAUUUCCUAUGUUCAGAAGGACUGAGGUCUCUCAAGAUGUUUUGACUGUUUCUGUUGUCACUUUGAAUAGAUACCUGAGCAUUGUUUAACAGUGAGUGUCGUUUCCUAUUUGAAGAAGUGUUUUAAAAUCUUUUGAUAUUUUUGACAAGCUUCUCCCUCAAAAGAAUAUUCAAAUCCUGAAUGAAGGCUUUCUUUUGACCUGGUAGAAGGAAGAACAUAUCUAUGAGGAUUUUCAGAGGGCCCCUGAGACUUCUCAAAGAAAUUUGCUCUCUUCCUGUAAGGAGGAAAAUACUAAACUAAUUAGGCUUAUUUAGUCUGUUAAAUUACAUGGGAAGCAUUGUCAAAUAAGUGAUGAUAAACUUUUUUAGGUGGUAUUAUGUAGGUGAAUGUUAUUGAUAUAAAUGUUUUAAAAUUAUAUAGCAUUCCUAAAAUUCUGAUCCAUCCUGGCUGUUAGCCAUAAUUCUAGUUAUUAUCUUGAUGUCGCAGAAGUAGCGAAAUUUCUUUGUCAGUUGCCCUUUUGAGUCUUUUGUCAUUUGCAGAUAGUUGCUGUUUUACUCUGAUGCUUUUUCCUUUUGCAAAAUAUAUUUCAUCUUCAGAGACAUUCAUGAAAAGGACUCUGGCGCUUACUCUAGAGUACAGCUUCCUGAUAAACUUUCAGAUCGUAAAACUGAACUGGGUAAGAAAUUACAGAAUUCUAAUGGAGAAACUGAUGACUUCAUAAAUCUGCUAACAGAAGAUUAAGAUCAAGAAUCGAUUAAACAGGACUGUAUGAACUGAUAAGGGUAAUUGUAAUUUUUUAUAACCUUUCUUUGAAAUAUUGUUGAGUUUUUGAUGUUUUGUUUUCUUGGAUUUAAGGAAAUCUUUUUCUCUUUUCUCUUAUGCUAACUAUGACUUAUAGCAAUUUGGUGAAAUUAUACCUUUGUGAUCAGAACUGAAACAUUUAUCUUUUUCUCCCUACCUGAUCCCUCCAGAACUUGGAAACUCUUUGUGAGUGAGUAUGGUUAUUUCAUGGCAAUAUAGUUAUUUGCAUAAGUUCAAUAUGAAUCUGUUCUCCUUAUAACAGGACACAUCUGGAAACAUUGGUUAUCUUACCAAGGCUUUGACUGGAAUGUCAUAUUUGAGAGAAACAUACAGACUCAGAUAUGACAAUACUGCCUUUGAGGAAUAAGGUUGACUUUCUGGACUAAAGCCACUUGGAAAUAUUGGCCUGGUACCUUGUUUACAGAGAUUCCAGCAAUCUUACCUUGUAAGUAAGGAAGCUCACUUAUCUGGCAGGUGCAAGGAACCUCGAAAUAUUUUGGGGGACUUCUAGAAGAGAGGAGUCCACCCAAAUCUGUAGGUAUUGCAGGCAAAAUCUGAUGGAAAGUCCUUGGCUUGGUUUUUCUGGCCUCGAGAGGCCUUUAAAAUUCAAUCUGAGAUUCCUCAUUAAAAAAUCCAGCAAAGCAGAUUUAAAAGAGCCUAUAUGAUCAAUUGCUAUUCUUGCUGCACUUAUGUAAAUACUUGGACCAAGUUGUAUUGAAACUACACUUAUUUUUCAAACAAGUUUAUCUUAAUUUGGCUAUCUUUGUAAAAAUGAGGGUGAUUUUAGAGAGAAAAAUUAUGUUUCAGUAGAAGCUAUAGUACACAUUCAUGGAUAUAUUUCUAGCUCUUCUCUUCUACAAGAUUCAUGUAUUACUAAUCAUAAUGUCUCCUUGUGGCCAUCCGUCUCUGAUGCCUGGGAGCUCCCUGGCCACAAUUAGACCUUUCCCUUCAACUCUAUUGCCCAAAUACUGACUAAAUUUGCCUUGUCACAGGUGGAUCAUAAACAAUGAGUUGCAAAGGUAAAGUCCCCAACCUAUUAAUACACACAGAAUGGACUAUAUCAAAUUUGGGACAAAUAUAUUUGGUACAUUGCUAUUAGUGGUCAACUCAGUCGAAAGGCCACUCUGUGUUGGAAAUAAACCAAUCACACUUGUGAUACGUGGCCUAAUAGCACCCAACCUAUGGGACAAAUUCCCCAUUAUAUGUGUUCUCAUAUCAUAGCCUUAAAAAUGCUGAUUGGUUUGGGACUGACUGGGAUAGAUGGCUCAGCAUUCAUUGGUUAGCCCCUAACAGCAGUCAGUGGUUAUGUGGCUCCAACUUAUGGCCUUGGCUGCUGCCUGGAUGGACUGGACGAUGCACCCUAGGCUUCAUCUUGAUACAAGGUAGAACUACGUUUGCUAUAUCUUCUCCUGCUAACCUACCCAACCUAUGACAACGCUGGACCCGUUCUGUCUUCCACUGGUAUGAUCACCUUGCCUCAACUUUCCUUCCCCAAUUAGGAAUCGAAAGUAUCAUCUGGCACGUGGAAGCCCUAAACAAAUUUCCUAUCUGAUAUGAGCCACCAAAUUAAAUCUGUGUUUGACCCUUCCUUAUCCCUAAAUGAUUGGUUAGACUCCUGGUCAGGUCCAGGUUUCUUGACUACUAUCAAAGCCAUAUUCAUUGGGUUAAUCAUACUGCUUGUAUAUCUUAUUAUAAUUUGUUGUCUAAUUCAUUGUUUGUCUUCCUCAUGUCAACAAAGUUUCACCUCCUGGACCACUUCUCAUCAAAUGAUUCUCUCAUCUCCAGAGGAUCUGUAUACCUUGUCAGCCUUGGACUCACAACAUUCCGGUCCACUGAACUUCCUGCCUGUACCCAUAUGGCCCCAUUUAGGGACAGCUCUACGACCUUGUACAGCUGGAAGCAGUUACAGAAGAUUGACCAUCAUCCAUAUCCCCAAAAGAUUUCGGGGCCAAAUGGGUUCAGGGGGGAUUUUAUGAUGAGGAUCAAGGCUGCCCCAGGGAGAGAAGCCCAAGGUGUCCUGCCCUACAUACUGAACUAUAUCAUCCUCUGGGAAGCACAGGAUGUCCUGACCUGAUUCAGCCUAAUUCAUAUCCAAAGUUAUAGGACCAUCCAAUAAGCAGACCCCACCUGCACUGAUGCCAUUUUAAUGAUUUUUUUCAUGAUCUUUCCUUUGUCUUGUAAAGAAAUAACUCACAUACCUAUACCUUAUAAAUUUAGCCCUACCCUCAACCCAUUACAGCUCUUACUGCCCAUGGGUCCUGUCCCCAUGCUACUCCAUGCUAUUCUCUGAAUAAAAGAACACUGCUGCCAG
ensembl:lncRNA